rnacentral:rRNA from 1 species
GGAAAGGUGAAAAGCACCCCGGAAGGGGAGUGAAAUAGAACCUGAAACCGUGUGCUUACAAGUAGUCAGAGCCCGUUAAUGGGUGAUGGCGUGCCUUUUGUAGAAUGAACCGGCGAGUUACGAUUUGAUGCAAGGUUAAGCAGUAAAUGUGGAGCCGUAGCGAAAGCGAGUCUGAAUAGGGCGUUUAGUAUUUGGUCGUAGACCCGAAACCAGGUGAUCUACCCUUGGUCAGGUUGAAGUUCAGGUAACACUGAAUGGAGGACCGAACCGACUUACGUUGAAAAGUGAGCGGAUGAACUGAGGGUAGCGGAGAAAUUCCAAUCGAACCUGGAGAUAGCUGGUUCUCUCCGAAAUAGCUUUAGGGCUAGCCUCGUGAAAGAUUACUGGAGGUAAAGCACUGAAUGGGCUAGGGGUCGAAAGAUUACUGAACCCUAUCAAACUAAGAAUGCCAGAUAAUUGAUUCACGGGAGUCAGACAAUGUGAGAUAAGUCUCAUUGUCAAAAGGGAAACAGCCCAGACCCACAGCUAAGGUCCCUAAACAUUGUUAAGUGGAAAAGGAUGUGGGAUUUCGAAGACAACCAGGAUGUUGGCUCAGAAGCAGCCAUCCAUUC